UGGGGAAUAUUGCACAAUGGGCGCAAGCCUGAUGCAGCCAUGCCGCGUGUAUGAAGAAGGCCUUCGGGUUGUAAAGCACUUUCAGCGGGGAGGAAGGCGAUAAGGUUAAUAACCUUGUCGAUUGACGUUACCCGCAGAAGAAGCACCGGCUAACUCCGUGCCAGCAGCCGCGGUAAUACGGAGGGUGCAAGCGUUAAUCGGAAUUACUGGGCGUAAAGCGCACGCAGGCGGUCUGUCAAGUCGGAUGUGAAAUCCCCGGGCUUAACCUGGGAACUGCAUUCGAAACUGGCAGGCUAGAGUCUUGUAGAGGGGGGUAGAAUUCCAGGUGUAGCGGUGAAAUGCGUAGAGAUCUGGAGGAAUACCGGUGGCGAAGGCGGCCCCCUGGACAAAGACUGACGCUCAGGUGCGAGAGCGUGGGGAGCAAACAGG
rnacentral:rRNA from 1 species